rnacentral:rRNA from 1 species
GACGAACGCUGGCGGCGUGCUUAACACAUGCAAGUCGAACGGGUCUGCCCUGUUUUUUUGCGGGGUGGGUCAGUGGCGAACGGGUGAGUAACACGUGAGUAACCUGCCCCUCACUUCUGGAUAACCGCUUGAAAGGGUGGCUAAUACGGGGUGUUCUGGCUGUGCCGCAUGGUGUGGCUGGGAAAGAUUCACUUUUGUGGUGUUUUGGUGGGGGAUGGGCUCGCGGCCUAUCAGCUUGUUGGUGGGGUGAUGGCCUGCCAAGGCUUUGACGGGUAGCCGGCCUGAGAGGGUGGGCGGUCACACUGGGACUGAGAUACGGCCCAGACUCCUGCGGGAGGCAGCAGUGGGGGGUAUUGCACAAUGGGCGGAAGCCUGAUGCAGCGACGUCGCGUGAGGGAUGGAGGCCUUCGGGUUGUGAACCUCUUUCGCCGGUGAAGAAGGUCCUGCUCUUUGUGGUGGGGUUGACGGUAGCCGGGUGAUGAAGCGCCGGCUAACUACGUG